GUCGAGUCGGCCUGCGCGGAAGAUGUAACGGGGCUCAAACCAGGCACCGAAGCCGCGGAUUCACGCUAAGCGUGAGUGGUAGGGGAGCGUUCUGUAAGUCUGCGAAGGUGUGUCGAGAGGCAUGCUGGAGAUAUCAGAAGUGCGAAUGCUGACGUAAGUAACGAUAAAGGGGGUGAAAAGCCUCCUCGCCGGAAGACCAAGGGUUCCUGUCCAACGUUAAUCGGGGCAGGGU
rnacentral:rRNA from 1 species